GCCGGAGUGGCGAAACUGGUAGACGCACGGGACUCAAAAUCCCGCGGGCGCAAGCCCAUGUCGGUUCGAGUCCGACCUCCGGCACCC
rnacentral:tRNA from 1 species